rnacentral:rRNA from 1 species
GACGAACGCUGGCGGCGUGCCUAAUACAUGCAAGUCGAACGCAGUGGGGACGGGUGAGUAACACGUGGGUAACCUCCCAUCAGACGGGAUAACACUUGGAAACAGGUGCUAAACCGAUACUGAUUUAUGGACCCGCGGUGCAUUAGCUAGUGGGGGAGGUAACGGCUCCCCAAGGCCACGAUGCAUACCCGACCUGAGAGGGUGAUCAGCAACACUGGGACUGAGAAACGGCCCAGACUCCUACGGGAGGCAGCAGUAGGGAAUCUUCGGCAAUGGACGAAAGUCUGACGGAGCAACGCCGCGUGAGUGAAGAAGGUUUUCGGAUCGUAAAACUCUGUUGUUAGAGAAGCGGUAUCUAACCAGAAAGCCACGGCUAACUACGUGCCAGCCGCCGCGGUAAUAC